rnacentral:snRNA from 1 species
GUGCUUGCUUUGGCAGCACAUAUACUAAAAUUGGAAAAAUACAGAGAAAAUUAGCAUGGCCCCUGCCCAAGGAUAACAUGCAAAUUCAUGAAGUGUUCCAUAUUUUU